UGCAAGAGUGUCUAGUAGGUGAAGGCUGGGAAAGCAAAGCGUGGUCUGUGUUGAUAGUGGAUUUGUGUGUAGACGGUUUACUAAUUUGAUGUACAGUGGACAACUGAAUACAAUGAGCGACUCUGCUACUCAAAGUGAUGUUUUCAUGGAAAUAAGAAAGAAACUACAGAGCUGUCUUUUAGUUUUAAGUGGCACUUUGGCAAAAGAGCCAUCUGAUGUGGAAAUUUCAACAAGACCACCAUCAUGGUUGCAAAUCAGAACUUCUGAUUUCUGCUGUAUCAUAGAACUGCCAGCAGAGGUCAGCAUUACACUUCCUCUAUCUAGAGAGCUGCCGAAGAUAGAGGAGGAUGGAUUGUACAUGAGACUUCAUGUUCAAAAUAAUGAUAAUGCAGAAGUCCUUCCCAGUCUAAUCAUAAGUUUGAAAGCGCAGAAAAGUUAUGUUCUUGCCUGCCAGUCCUGUGGGAAUGUAAUUGUAUUUGAAAGGACAUUUCACCGGGUCCUCCCUUUGCCAAGUGGGAACUGGAAUGCACUUGUUGAGGAUUGGUGCUGCCAUCCUGAUCCCUUUGCCAACAAGAAAUUGCUUCCAAAGGAAGAAGACUGUUUGUUAGGAGAUACCUUUAUUCUGCUAAGUUGGCACAGUGUUGUAAAUGAGGCACUGGUAAAGAACUCAGAAAAAGCAGACAGCCAACAAAAGUUUCAUGAAAACAAAUUCCAGAAAUCAAAAGAAGUUGUUCAUGUGACUUGUCAGCGUUGUCGAAGAGUGCUGGGUGAAAGUGUUUCUUCAGAUACCGUAAAGCUCUAUAUAACUGAACUGAUAGUAAAAUCUCCCACAAACCUAACCAACCACUUUGACAUGGAAAACAGAUAUCAGUUUGUUGAAAAUGCUGUAGCUUGCCGUCUACUGGAAAUAUCCUCUGUUUAUAGCACUUUCCGCUUUUCAAUUCAAGGUCAUGAUGGAAAAAUAUUACUCUUGUUGUGGCUUCUAAAUACUGAUACACUUCUUGUUUCAUCUUCAAAGACAGCAGCUGAUACUGCUGAAUCAGAUUUAUUUACAGAUAAUUCCAUCACAAAGCAUCAUUCACACAAAGCAAGAAAUGUGAUUAAAAUUCUAUACCUUCAUUGCCUAACAUCUACGCAUCACGAUGUUAUUGAAGCUUGGGAAAAAGACAUUGGCGUGCAGCCUUUAACCUUGCCUGUAGAGACCUGUCAUGAGUUGAUUCACAUUUUGUCUACAAGCAAUGCAACUCUGCCUUCCUCAAUGCGCACAUUCCAGACAUUCCAGUUCAUGGGAACCCUGAUCACCAAUGGCAACCUCAAAUACACAUUUUCUCAGUAGAAUAUCUUCUGUUGUAAAGGGUCAUUGCUGUGUUUUGAACAUGUUCAGACCAGGUGGCAUUUUUGAAAUUGCGAUGUAAACAAAAGUGAUAUUUCAACCUGUCCUGGAAAUCGACAGAAAAGCUAAAUUUGCCUUCAGCUGCAUACAUCAAAUAAAAACUAAAAGAAAAAAUGAAAAUGCCUGAAUUUGCUGAGCCUUAUUAUUAAGUAAAACAAGGUGACCACCAGUUGCAUUUACCAAGAUUAUUAUUUAUGUAAAAUAUUUUGAAAAGUAAAUGUAUUUGGAAAUUGUUUUUACUGUAUAGAAUAAUGUACCUUAUAAAGUGCAUAUAUACUUUAGUCUGGUCUAGUUUUACAUUGUGUGUUUAACUUUUCUUUUUAUAGUACUGCUUAAACAUAUGUUUCCAAAAAAUAAAUGUAUAUAUGUUGUAUGUGGCAUUAAAGCAACAAUACAAUAGUUUUCAAAAAAGCAUACGUGUUAUCUCGGUAUGUUAACAACAGUCAGACUUAAAAAGUACAUCUAAAAAGGUAAAACACUGCUACUUUCAUUAUACAUAUUCUGGUUUUGGGGGCAGAGCCCAUCCCAGCAGCCCUGGGUGAAAAGCAGGAACCAUCCCCUCCUACACACACGGAAUGAGCCACUUUGGAACUACCAGUUGCCCUGACAAGCAUGGCUUCUAGGAUGUAAGAGGAAAACAGAGUUCCUGGAGGGGAACCCAUGCAAGUUCAAGCAGAACAUGCAGACUCCACAUGGACCACAACUUUUUACCUUUUGAAACUAGGAGGAACUGGUAUGGUACCAGGUAUCAAACAAAACCUUAAAAGACUUUAUGGUUCAUUCCUCAAAAGAAGAAUGGAUCUGCAGUGGGGAGAUGGCAGGCAUUGUUAUAGUGUUUUGUAUUGCAUUUACAUCUUCAUUGGAAAAAUACAACACGCACUUUUUGAAU